UUUCUUUUAUUUUCAUUUAGUACUGCCCUUCAGAUGCUAAAUAAGAUAAUCCCAGAAGACAAAAUACUAACAAUUUACACCAAUCAUCCUGUUCAAAAGUUUACACCCCCCUGGCUCUUAAUGUAUCGUGUUACCUUCUUGAGCAUCAGUGGACGUUUGCAGCUUUUGUAAUACUCGUGUACGAGUCCCUCAGUCGUCCUCGGUGUGAAAAGAUGGAUCUCGACAUCAUAUAGCCGCCGUUGGAAAGGGCUCAAAUAUGUAGAAUAUGCUGGGAAAGUAAAGAAUGUGCAGGACCUGGAGGAUUUUUCUGAAGAACAGUGGGCAGUUUAACUGCUCAGGACAAACGAGGGACUCGUGAACAACUCUCACAACACGUAAACACAGUCGCUGAUCAUCCAGGUAACGACACAGUAUUCAGAAUCAUACGUAUGUAAACUUUUGAAUGGGGUAAUUUUUUAAUAAAUUCAGCUAUUGUCUUGUAUUGUGGACUAUAUGUAAACAUCUGUUAUGUGAACUAAAUAAACAACAACAUGGGAAUUUUAUGAUCAGUCUUAUUUUGUUAACAGUAUUAAGAUUUAGCAGAUUCUCCAAGGGGUAUGCAAACUUUUGAGCACAACAGUAUAUAUAUAUAUUGCAUACAUACAUAUUUAGAGUGAGAGAGAGAGAGAGGUAGAGAGAGAGAGGUGAGAGACCACAAGGCCCCUUCAUUUAUCCUUCUCUCAGUCAUUCUUUCUUUAAUAGUGCAGCACCUACAGGCAGGUUUGUUCCCAUUCAUUGCGCUGGUCACUCUCUCUCUCUCUCUCUCUCUCUCUCUCUCUCUCUCUCUCUCUCUCUCUCUCGAGAUAACACAGUGGCCGACCCUCAAAUCUACAGACGUAGAAUUCUUCCUGCACUUCGGAGAGACCUGAGCGUGCCACAUCACAGCAGGAGAGAUUUAUCAGCCAUCAGAUAGCGGUCAGGCCUCCAGCAGAACGUACUGAUUACGCAGCAAACAGCUCAGCAGUUUGCUGUCUGAGCAAGUACAGUGUUGGAUAUAGAACCACAAUCGCUCGAAGUACGACUCUCCCCUGCCCGCACUUUCCAC
ensembl:lncRNA